GUCAGAAUGGCCGAGUGGUCUAAGGCGCCAGAUUCAAGUUCUGGUCUCCAAAUGGAGGCGUGGGUUCAAAUCCCACUUCUGACA
rnacentral:tRNA from 1 species